GAUGAAGAACGUAGCAAAAUGCGAUAAGUAAUGUGAAUUGCAGAAUUCAGUGAAUCAUCGAAUCUUUGAACGCACAUUGCGCCCGCCAGUAUUCUGGCGGGCAUGCCUGUUCGAGCGUCAUUUCAACCCUCAAGCACAGCUUGGUGUUGGGACUCGCGUUAAUUCGCGUUCCCCAAAUUGAUUGGCGGUCACGUCGAGCUUCCAUAGCGUAGUAGUAAAACCCUCGUUACUGGUAAUCGUCGCGGCCACGCCGUUAAACCCCAACUUCUGAAUGUUGACCUCGGAUCAGGUAGGAAUACCCGCUGAACUUAAGCAUAUAAAUAAGCGGAGGA
rnacentral:misc_RNA from 1 species